rnacentral:rRNA from 1 species
GACGAACGCUGGCGGCGUGCUUAACACAUGCAAGUCGAACGAGAAGAGAUGAGAAGCUUGCUUCUUAUUGAUUCGAGUGGCAAACGGGUGAGUAACGCGUAAGCAACCUGCCCUUCAGAUGGGGACAACAGCUGGAAACGGCUGCUAAUACCGAAUACGUUCUUUUUGUCGCAUGGCAGAGGGGGAGAAAGGGAGGCUCUUCGGAGCUUUCGCUGAAGGAGGGGCUUGCGUCUGAUUAGCUAGUUGGAGGGGUAACGGCCCACCAAGGCGACGAUCAGUAGCCGGUCUGAGAGGAUGAACGGCCACAUUGGGACUGAGACACGGCCCAGACUCCUACGGGAGGCAGCAGUGGGGAAUAUUGCACAAUGGGCGAAAGCCUGAUGCAGCAACGCCGCGUGAGGGAAGACGGUUUUCGGAUUGUAAACCUCUGUUUUCGGUGACGAACAAAUGACGGUAACCGAGUAGGAAGCCACGGCUAACUACGUG